rnacentral:rRNA from 1 species
UACAUGUGGGGCAAGCGUUGUUCGGAAUUACUGGGCAUAAAGGGUGCGUAGGCGGUUUGUUAAGUCACUGGUGAAAGUUUUCGGCCCAACCGGAAAAUUGCCUGUGAUACUGGCGAACUUGAGUGCGUGAGGGGUAGGGGGAACGAGCAGUGUAGCGGUGAAAUGCGUAGAUAUCAAGAGGAACACCUGAGGUGAAGACGGGUUGCUGGGCUGACACUGACGCUGAGUGCGCGAAAGCGUGGGGAGCGAACAGG